AAUCCUCUGAGAGGAAAGCAGAGAGGAAAGCAGCUUCAAAUUCUUCCCACGUGGUUAUUGAGGAUCGUGCAACUUCCCACCAGUCCCGGGCAGUACCGUAAAGGACAGUGCGGAAAGUGGCCAGAAUGUCAGCAUCAGAGCAGGAAGCAAAGGAGCGGUCACUGGUGAUACAGCUGAAACUGGAGCGUUAAGAGGCAAAGGAGUUGAUAGGAUACCAGGCAAGUCCUGCUGUGCCGCCGAAGAUUGAGAUGAAGGGUCAAGUAAUGUACAUAUCUGCAUAGAGUCGCCAUUCGGUUCCUCCUCCCAGAUGAAGGGUUGAACAGGAGUACUGCCAGCUAGUGGUGAAGUUGCAAACCGCACCUGGGUUCCUGGUACAUCAGUGGUGCUGGCUUGAGUAGGAGUGACAUGGAGAGGAACACGAGAGAGUCCAGGUGGAGAAAGUAGAGGACGAGGUGCUGGAGGCCAGACUGGGGUAGCAACAUCGGGUGCCGGUGGUUCAAUCUCCACAAAAGUGGAUGGAGAGAGAGGAGUGGUAGCCAUG